GGAAGGGGCAAGGGGUUCACCCACUUUCACGAGUUUCAUAGGUUCAAGAGAUCCCACUAUAGAAGUGUCUAGCCGUUCGCCGAAGGAAGGGAUUCUUUAUCAAAGUCUCCGAAAGGCGCACUUAACCUCAUUCGAUGAUGGGGUUGGGGCAAUUGACCGAUCCUAAGCUAAAUCUAGCUCUGAUGGUGUGUCCGCGGGUCCCUUCCUCUCAACGUCUGAAAGAACACUCUAAUGGCAAGUCGGGCUAAUUCUAAUAUAGGGAUAGAAAAGGAAUUGGCAAG
rnacentral:lncRNA from 1 species